CAGGGGGAGGAGCCCCAAAGGGGGAAAAAGAAAGUGCGGCGGAAAGUAAGAGGCUCAUUGGGGGAAGACUAGCCGGAUCAGGGUCCCCGGGCUCCGCUUUGGCCAGACUCACCGAAAGAAGCAGUGUCCGGCGACCCUGCCACCCAUCCCACUGGUUGUCUGCGCCCGCUCUGCUUCCCGAGAAAGGAUGGGACUCCUGUGGUGUGUGAUGAGUCUCUACUUCUAUGGGAUCCUGCAAAGUGAUGCCUCAGAACGCUGUGAUGACUGGGGACUAGAUACCAUGAGGCAGAUCCAAGUGUUUGAAGAUGAGCCAGCUCGCCUCAAGUGCCCACUCUUUGAACACUUCUUGAAAUACAACUACAGCACAGCCCACUCAGCUGGCCUGACUCUGAUCUGGUAUUGGACGAGGCAGGACCGGGACCUGGAGGAGCCAAUUAACUUCCGUCUCCCUGACAACCGCAUUAGUAAGGAGAAAGAUGUGCUCUGGUUCCGCCCCACCCUCCUCAACGACACCGGCAACUACACCUGCAUGUUAAGGAACACCACAUACUGCAGCAAAGUUGCAUUUCCUCUGGAAGUGGUUCAGAAAGACAGCUGCUUCAAUUCCUCCAUGAAACUCCCACUGCAUAAGCUGUAUAUAGAGUAUGGUGUUCAGAAGAUCACGUGUCCAAAUGUAGAUGGGUUCUUUCCUUCCACUGUCAAACCAACCAUCACUUGGUACAUGGGCUGUCAGAAAAUACAGAACUUUAAUAAUGUGGUAGCUGAAGGCCUGAAUUUGAGUUUUCUCAUCGCCUUGGUUUCGAACAAUGGAGAUUACACAUGUGUUGUUACAUACCCAGAAAAUGGGCGUACCUUCCAUCUCACUAGGACUCUGACUGUAAAGGUGGUAGGCUCUCCAAAAGAUGCAUUGCCUCCUCAGAUCUAUUCACCCAAUGAUCUUGUGGUCUACGAGAAAGAACCGGGAGAGGAGCUGCUCAUCCCCUGUACAGUCUAUUUUACUUUCCUGAAGGAUGCUCGCAAUGAGGUUUGGUGGACCAUUGACGGAAAAAAGCCAGACGACACCAAUAUUGAUGUAACUGUUAAUGAAAGUAUAAGUUUGACCCAAACCGAAGAUGAAACGAGGACUCAGAUUUUGAACAUCAAAAAAGUUACUGCUGAGGAUCUCAAGCGCAACUAUGUCUGUCAUGCUAGAAAUGCCAAAGGGGAGGUUGACAAAGCAGCCAAGGUGAAACAGAAAGCUCCAAGAUACACAGUGGAAUUAGCAUGUGGUUUUGGAGCCACAGUCCUGCUGGUAGUGAUUCUCAUUGUUGUUUACCACGUUUACUGGCUGGAAAUGGUCUUAUUUUACCGGGCUCAUUUUGGAACAGAUGAAACCAUUUUAGAUGGGAAGGAAUAUGAUAUUUAUGUAUCUUAUGCAAGAAAUGCUGAGGAAGAGGAGUUUGUGUUACUGACCCUCCGUGGUGUCUUGGAGAAUGAAUUUGGAUACAAGCUGUGCAUCUUUGACCGUGACAGUCUACCUGGGGGAAAUACAGUGGAAGCAGUCUUUGACUUCAUUCAGAGAAGCCGAAGGAUGAUUGUUGUCCUCAGCCCAGACUAUGUGACAGAAAAAAGCAUCAGCAUGCUGGAGUUUAAACUGGGUGUCAUGUGCCAGAACUCUAUUUCCACCAAGCUUAUUGUGGUUGAGUACCGUCCCCUUGAGCACCCACACCCAAGCAUCCUGCAGCUGAAGGAAUCUGUGUCUUUUGUGAGCUGGAAGGGAGAAAAGUCCAAACAUUCUGGCUCUAAAUUCUGGAAGGCCUUGCGGUUGGCACUUCCCCUGAGAAGUCUGAGUGCCAGCUCUGGCUGGAAUGAAAGCUGUUCUUCCCAGUCUGACAUCAGUCUGGACCAUGUUCAAAGGAGGAGAAGUCGUUUGAAAGAGCCCCCAGAACUCCAGGGCUCAGGGAGAGCAUCAGGCACCUCUCCAGCCCCAGACAUGAUGUCCAAGCACAGAGGGAAGUCCUCUGCAGCCUGUCGCUGCUGUGUCACCUACUGUGAAGGAGAGAGUCACCUUAGGAGCAAGAGCCGGGCAGAGAUACAUACCCAGCCCCAGUGGGAGACACACCUCUGUAAGCCUGUUCCCCAAGAAUCAGAAACUCAAUGGAUACAAAAUGGCACCAGAUUGGAGCCCCCUGCUUCCCAGAUCUCAGCCCUUGCUCUUCACCAUUUUACGGAUUUAUCCAAUAACAAUGACUUCUAUAUCUUAUAAUUACCAUGUGGUGGGUGGUGGCUGCUAUCUAUCUAUACCAGCCCUCUUUGUGCUAUGAACCUAUGGGAGUAAUUGACAUUUUUAUCAUCUAAUGGACUACCAGACUGUGUCCCCUUUAUUGAUUUUUAAAAACUAUUUAUUUCUAGGAGACAAAAGACCUGAGGACCCGAAUCCAGAAUUAUUGCUUCUAAUGGCCUCAGAAGAGCACACUCUUCUUGGGCCCUAGAAGGUCAGUAUGUGAAAGUUGCCUAAAGUCUGAUCCUCUAUCUUGCCCAAUGGUUUCAUACUGAGCAAAGAAUUUAAAUAUGUUUCCUUUGAGUUUGUUGAUCAAUGUCAUAUUAUGAGUCAGUCAGGUAUACUUGGGCUAUGACACUUACAGGGUAUGUGUAUCCCAAGAGAGCAUUGUGGAAAUGAGUUGAUUGUGGUGGAAGCUGUAGGAAUAAGCUCUACUAAAAACCUACAGCACAUUUUUCUUGGAAGAACCAAACACACACACACACACACACACAGAUACAUGGUGUUCUGUCUCACUGUAAACUAGUGCUCUAUAAACUGCCUAAAGUUGUUAGCAUCAAUAAAGUUAUAUUUUUAUGUGAUUUUAUUUGUACUAACAAAUUUUUACCUCUCUCUCCCCUCUUCUUUUUAUGGCUCUUGAAUUCAUAUCAGAAGAGUAUUCCACUUCAGGAAAUCAAGACUUGGUUUAGGUACUAGGAAAGUUCAAGGUGUCUCUUUAGUUUCUUUAUAAUGUGUGUGGAGGGGAGACUGGGGAAAGGGCAGAAAGAGAGAGAAAAUAUUUCAAAUGAAAUGGAAGUUUACACAAAAAAAUCUCCUAUUUUUAGAACUGAGAGCUGAAAAAUUCAGUAUUAUUAGGGAUUCAGUGUAGCAUUUGGUGUGUGUAACCCUUUUUCACAUUCAAGGUUCUGAGAAGGGAUAGUCAGUCCAAGUGCCUACAAGAAUCAGAAAGUAAGAAAAAAGAGAAAAGGGGGCUAGAAAUAAGCAUAAUACACAUGCUGUCCAUCUAAGACCCAUAUGUAUAGAGAUAGGUAUAGGUACAUAUUUCUUUACUUGAAACAUCUUAACACAGUCAUAAAAGGCACAUGGCAUUUGAUCUGCCAGUGAGGGAGAUAAUAGAGAUGAUUGGACCUGUGGGUAAUUGAAGAAUAUUCCUUACAAAGGAAGCAACCUCUACCCAGUUCCAUCAUGAUAGUUUUCACUCAGUCCCAUUGUUGGCAGAUUGUCCAGUUUUUCAGAAGAAUCUAAAAAAUAAGGUUUGUAAGUAGUCUCUCAAUUAUGGGAUGUCUUAAUCUUAAAACAAAAGAAAAAAAAAAAACAACAACCAAAUCACAUGAACAUGUAGUCAACCUGAGGGCCACCAGUUUGUAAUUUCAGAACUGAAGUAUUUACCCAAAGAGUAUAUAUCUGAGUGGGAAUUCAAGCAUCUUUGGCAAUACUGAGACUAGAGAACACAGACAGGACCUAAGGACAUAAUGGGAGACUUCUAUUCCCUUCCCAAAUCAAAAACAUCUGAAUCGUGUAAAAAAAAAAAAAGGCUGAUCUGACCUACCACUUCACCAGAGGAGAAAAAAUUCUGGAAAAUAGUGUGCCCUCCAUCUUCUCUGAUGGAAGAGUGUGGGUCCCCUGAGUGGUGAGGUUGCUAUAAGAAAAUUAGAAGCACAAUCUGCUUCCCCUGGAUAGGAGCAGGAUGAAAAGAGCAAAGUACCAUACCAGACAUGAGCAGUCACCUUUAAUACGUUAGUGCUGGCUGCUAGUAAGCUGUGGCCCAAUGAAUGUCAACAUUUUUCAGCCACUAAUAGUGAAGGAUGGGUGGAGAAAGAAGCCAGACAUUCUGUUCCACUACUCCACUUGGAAAGAAAAGCAGAAAAUCCCUUCUCUGUUGAAACAAACUAUUAUACCCCUUUCCUCUUGAAAGAAAAAGAGGUGGGAAUAAGGACACCCCAGAGUAAAUGUGACUCAUCAUGGAACUUGUAAUUAGAAAAUGAUAGGACACCUUACCUGAAUAUCUUGUAGAAAACAAUUGAGCACAAUAGAUAUUCUAUAUUGCAUUUCUUUAUGAAGAGAUUAAUCCAUCCUUGAUGUGUGUUCAAGGAUCUUCACUUGGAAGAGAGAUAGCAGUUAGUUUCCCAAUCUAUUUAAAUGGAGUAAUGUAUGUUGCUCCAAAUCCUAAAAAGGGAGAGAAUUUUUUUACCCAUAAUCAGUCUUAUUCUGUAUGAGCUCAGUGUCCCAACUACAAAAUAUCUUUGGAAAAAUUGAGAAAUACUUGUGUCAUUUAUGAAUUAUUUUUUGUGUGUGAAAAAAAUAAAGGAUAAGUGGCAACAGCAUGGAAAUUAAACAUGGAUUCUUAUGAAUGAGUAGCUAGAUAACCGUGUUCUCAAAAGCUAAGUUAGUUUUGGUCAGUAUCAAUUUCCAUUAACAAUAUAUGGCCAGUAUAAGCAGUGUAAAGUAAUAGCUUUUGGCAUUAGCUACCCAGGGGUCAGAAAAAUAAAGGACCAUACUUCUACUGUAUGAAGAAAGGCUAGAAGGUUAUGUUAUUAGUCUCUGACCCAACAUUCCAUACUUGAGUGUAAUAUUCAUUGCCAUAUAUUUCAAUGAGGCAAAUGAUAAGAAAAUUUCCUCAGGGGUCAUGCAUAUUCAUAACUAAUAUGAUAUGAUUGCAGGUUAAAUGGAUAUCAUUUACAUAGGAAUAUUGCCUAUUUAGGAGCAGGAGUUUUAAGUCAAGUAGAGAUGAAUGCUCUGAUUUUCUCCAGCCAAGAAGGACUACAAAUCAUCCUUUUAACAAGGUGUUUGCAGGCAAUAGAUGAAAAUACUAAGGCACACUUAGCCCUUGAGUUGCCUUGGCAGAGGAGACAAUUAAGUAGAGGAGUGGUUGCUACAGUGUAUUUCUAAUAUAUGAAGCAUCAAACACUGACAUUUGAAACUGGUAUGAUUGCUGUGGUCAUCACAUGUAUUAAUCAGAUUCAGAUAAGCUAUACUAAGUAACCCCAACACUUUAGUAGGUUUACAUAACAAGACCUAUUUCUUGUUUAUGCUGUAUGUCCAGAUAGGGGCUUACAUUUUUGUAGUUUUGCCAUCUGAAAUGUGUAGCUCCCUGCUAUUCUACUUCAGCCUAAAUAUGAGACCACUCUCACUUACAAUCCAUUGGUCAAAACUAGCUGUGGCACAGAUCUAGUCAUAGGGAAGGCUGGAAAAUGCAUUUUUGUUGUGUUCCUGGGAAGAGAAAAAUGAAAUGGAACUUGGUGAACACAUAGCAUUGUCUUUGCCUAAGAAUGAGAUACUGAGAUUGCCUGAAGAGGCAAGAGAACUACAACUGGAGUUAUGUUACAUACUUUGAUAAUGAAGAAACGGAAUGAUUCCUGCCAACACCCCACCACUACUUGCCAAGGUGUCAAGUCAGGUACUUAUUUUAAAACUGUACAAAAAUGAACAAGGCUUGUCACUAAUUUUCAUAAAGGAAAAUUGUUGAAGUCAUACAUACAUACAGCUCUUGGCUAAAGAAAAUGUUUUUAAAAAUUGGUAAGUUUCUGUAUUUGGUUAAUUUCCAUUCAGUGGCUUUAGGUAGUUCUCUAAGAAUGUGGUGCUCAAACCAUCUGUCAAUGAGCCAUUUCAUUUUUGAAUAUCCAGGGAACCUCAGAAGGAUUGAAGACAUUUAGAACACAGCAGAGCAUGUAACACGGUUAUUAGAAAGCCUCCCUUGAUAUAUUUAUCUGAAGAGCUAAAUGGGGAAUUUGAACUGAACAUGCUAGAGCCUAGAUGAAGGAAGAGACAAAUGCUGCUGUGGGUAUUAUGAAGUCAGCUGCUAUCUAUGCAUCUGCUCUCUCUACGAUUUGGAUUCUCUCUAUUAAAG